UUACGGCCAUAAUACCUUGAAACAUUGGUUCUCGUACGAUCACCGAAGUUAAGCAAUGACGAGACUAGUCAGUAAAUAGAUGGGUGACAGCUUGGGAAUACCAGGAGCUGCAA